rnacentral:rRNA from 1 species
CCUACGGGAGGCAGCAGUGGGGAAUAUUGGACAAUGGGGGGAACCCUGAUCCAGCGACGCCGCGUGAGUGAAGCAGUAUUUCGGUAUGUCACGCUCUAUCGGCAGGGCAGAAAGAAAUGACGGUCCCUGCCUAUGAAGACCCGGCUAACUCCGUGCCAGCCGCGGCGGUAAUACGUAGGGGGCAAGCGUUAUCCGGAUUUACUGGGUGUAAAGGGAGCGUAGACGGCUAUAAAAGUCUGAAGUGAAAGGCGGGGGCCCAACCCCCGGACUGCUUUGGAAACUGUUUGGCUGGAGUACAGGAGAGGUAAGUGGAAUUCCUAGUGUAGCGGUGAAAUGCGUAGAUAUUAGGAGGAACACCAGUGGCGAAGGCGGCUUACUGGACUGUAACUGACGUUGAGGCUCGAAAGCGUGGGGAGCAAACAGGAUUAGAUACCCCUGUAGUC